rnacentral:rRNA from 1 species
GACGGAUGGGGCUAGCGUUGUUCGGAAUUACUGGGCGUAAAGGGCGCGUAGGCGGCCAAUUAAGUUAGACGUGAAAGCCCUGGGCUCAACCCAGGAACUGCGUUUAAUACUGGUUGGCUAGAGUUCGGUAGAGGAAAGCGGAAUUCCUAGUGUAGAGGUGAAAUUCGUAGAUAUUAGGAAGAACACCAGAGGCGAAGGCGGCUUUCUGGACCGAUACUGACGCUGAGGCGCGAAAGCGUGGGGAGCAAACAGG